rnacentral:lncRNA from 10 species
UGGCACUGCUUCCCCCAACUGCCAGGGAAGAGAGGCUUGAGCAGGCACCUGUCAUCUGUCUGCCAUAGCUCCAUCAAAGAGUAAUGUCUGGCCUGACCCCAAUGCCCAUCCAGGAUGACUGGAGGUGCUGCCCCAAGCACCAUCCUCUCCGAGUGCUCGGGGCUUCCCAAGAAUGUAACUAUGGUCGCAUAGCAAAAGUGAGCAAGGCUGCAGUGCAGCAGCCCAGAGAAAACACAACUGAACCUCAUCAAUCAAUUUCCAUCCCACCACCUUGACUUGACUGCAGGCUGCCUGGGAACCCCACACUUCUCCUCUCUUUCCAGAAGAAGCGGUCUCAGCGGAGUUGUUUCCUAACGUAGCACAUUUGUUGCAGACAGCUACAGAGAGCAAAAAUAUGCUAUGGGCCAUCCACUUAAAGGAAACAGGCACGGGUAUUGCUCAACCUGCCGAGUUCAGCCCUGGCUCAUGAACUCAGUUCCAUGCACUGCGUCUGCACUGGGGAUCCAUGUGCAGAGGGGCCAGAUCAAAACCCCGGACUCUGAAUACAUGAUGAGACAACUGAGGCUCCGAGAGGUGAAGUCCUGUGUCUGGACUGGGCUGUGUGUUGGCGUGUGCCUUCCCACAAAUCCUGUGACCCACCUCACCACUCCAUGCUGCCCCAGAAACAUGGGGCAAUGAUUUGUACAGGAAUCCCAGCAAGCAGAGCUUCUUCUAGAACUAACCAGGAGCUCGGUGUCUUCCUCAGACACUCAUAGUCCUCUCGAGCAAUUCCCCAGGCUGGACUCUGACUCAAGCUUCAGACAUUAAGCACCUUUGAAAGGCUGGAAAGUCACAGUCUACUCAUAUGUCACCAGAAGGCCUGGGCAAAAAAAGGAGGAAAAAUUAAAGAAUUAAGCGAGGGCCUGGAAAACAAGGCUAGCAGGAAGUCGGAGGAACUGACAAACAACUGGGAAGAUGAAGCUACCGAGGAUGGGCUGCAGGAGCCAAGAAGUUAGAAUCUGCAAGCCUGCGCCGAGUGCUCCAGUCAGCCAGCACUAGAUGAUUUACUGCUGAAUCCAGCCCCUCUAUGGACCAGCCUCCAAGUCACAUGGACCGUAAGGAAUGGUUUGAGACCAUCCCAAGAAAUAUUUGGGCAGCUCAAGAGAUGCAGAAACUGUUGCCCAUCCCCAUGUUUCAAGAACAAACAAGUAAAAGCUAAACCAGGGCCAAGCGCUCUGAGACUCGCUCCCCGCCACCCAGCCCUAGCCCAGUGUCCCCUGGACAGGGCUCAUGCCCUGCUGAGCCCCUGAUGCUGAAGUCAGGGGAGAAGGAGCCCGCCUCAUUGGCAGGGGUCAUUCCUCACUGUUCAGGCAGUAAACUAAGCCUUCUUGUCAUUUAUGGCUAUUUUGUCACCUUUACCAUUGUCAUCAGUGGCUGGCAAGAAUAUCCACGUGAGUUGAAGUUUACUGUCUGUCCUUUUAUUCUUCUGUCCUCUUUCUCUAUCUCAUAAUUAAAAAUUCCAUUUAACUGUUUUGUGUAUUUUGGCAGACACUGUUGGCUUCCUAUCCUAAAUUCUUCCCUACCUUCUUCCUGGAAAGCCUGGCUUUCCCUCUGGCUUUCUGGUUCAGGUGACUAUUCUUCCUCCACACAACUUGAGGAAGGGUAACCCUUUUCUCUCCCCAAAGGAAACCCUGAUGGACUAGGUCACCCUGUAAUCCCAUUCCCCUUGCCAGUGACUGGGCUGGGAAUGGGCAUUUGAUGCAAUUUUGGCCAACGGGCCAUGAAAGAGUGUGUACUCAUGUGUCUUCAAGAGACACAAAAGAACCAGGUCAGAGGACUUCUACUGCCUGCAAGUCUUGAAGUCUUAUUCCAAAGCAACAGUAAUUAAGACAGCAUGGGAAAGGCAAGAGGAAAGACAAAUAAGUCAAUAGAACAGGACAGAGUCCAGAAAUAGAUCUAUACAUAGAUAACCAAUUGACUUUUUUUUUAAAUUUUUGUGGGUACAUAGUAGGUGUAUAUAUUUAUGGGGUACAUGAGAUGUUUUGAUACAAGCAUGCAAUACGUAAUAAUCACAUCAUGGAAAAUGGAGUAUCCAUCCCCUCAAGCUUCAAGCAUUUAUCUUUUGUGUUACAAACAAUCCAAUUAUACUUUUAGUUAUUUUUGAAUAUACAGCUAUUAUUGACUACAGCCACCCUGUUGUGCUAUCAAAUACUACAGCCAAUUGAUUUUUUUUUUUUUUUUUUGAGAUGGAGUCUCACUCUGUUGCCCAGGCUGGAGUGCAGUGGCAUGAUCGCAGCUCAUUGCAACCUCUGCUUCCAGGGUUCAAGUGAUUCUCCUGCCUCAGCCUCCUGAGUAGCUGGGAUUACAGGUUCCUGCCACAUGCCCAGCUAAUUUUGUAUUUUUAGUGGAGACGGGGUUUCACCACGUUGGCCAGGCUGGUCUUGAACUCCUAACCUCAGGUGAUCCACCCACCUCAGCCUCCCAAAGUACUGCAAUUACAAGCGUGAGCCACCGUGCCUGGCCCAGCCAAUUGAUUUUUGAGGAAAGUGCCAAGGAGGAAAGGAAAGUCUUUUUCAACGAAUGGUGUUGAAUAUCUGUAUGGUAAAACAAUGAACCUGGGUCCCUGCCUCACACCAGACACAAAGACUAAUUGCAGAUGAUUUACAGGUCUCCAUGGAAAAGUGAAACUAGAAGGCAUCUAGGAAAAAAAAAAAAAAGACACAAGGAAGAAAGAAGUGGAGCCCCUCUUCUUCCACUUAGUGAUGUGAUGUCUGCAUAGGAGGGGAGGAACUGUACAGCCAUCCUGGAACCAUGAGGACACAGCCCAUGGACAGCAUGGAAAGAGAAACGAGCUUCAGAGUUGCCCUCCGUGUGGCUUUCUUGCUAUGUGAAAUGAUGCAUUUUCCUUCAUUGUUAAGCUAACUGCAUUGCAUUCUCCAUUACUUGCAGCCAAAAGCAUUCCCACUGAGACAUGCCUGUCCUUUUGUUUUUCCCUCCUAUGGUGUAGGGUUUUGCAUAACUAUUUACGUUCAGGCAAUAAACACAAAACCAUGAACAUUGACCUUCAUGUGGAAUUUAAGGAUUGCUAAACUUUUUUCUGUACCUAGAUUUCUCCUGUGUUGAUUUUGGAAUCCAACUCCUGGGGCAGGCGCUGAGGCACCCUGAGGAAAGGGCUGUGAUUGUCCAGUGCCAAAAGUGACCCACAAAGCAAAGUGUCUCCAAAGGACAGAGACCACAAUUGACUCAUUCUCAUUCAUACCCUUGAACCCAAGUACAGCAUCUGGAACACAGCAGGAGCUCAAUAAAUAAGUGUUGUAUGAAUGGAUGGAUAGAACAAGAAAAGUCCAGGCCCUUUCAUUCAUUGUAUUAUAAGCUUGCAAGCUUAAUUAGUACAAUUAAAAUACAUAAGCAAUAUCUUAGUUUCUUUAAUAAUUCCCCUUAAUUUACACGCUCUCUUUAUUUGAGUAAGUUCCCCAGGUGUUUGAAGAAUGUUAUUAGAAUUGGACAGUCCCUGUGUUGGAGACAGGGCCAUUGAAGCUGGUAUUUCUUCUCCCUUCCCUUCCUUCCUCCCUUCCUUUCUUUUUUUUUUUCUCCAAGAUGGGGUCUUGUUCUGUCCCCAGGGUGGAGUGCUGUUGCAUGAUCAUGGCUCACUGCAGCCUCAACCUCCUAGGCUUAAGCGAUCCUCCUGCCUCAGCCUCCUAAGUAGCUGGGACACACCAC